CUGAACUUCCAGAGUUGGUAGUUUGUUACAGGGAUAGUGCUUACCAUAUUGUCAAGGACAUCUGCAUUGAUGAGGGUGUCCCCUCCCAGGACAGGUUCUUGUUUGACCCUGGUGUAAGUGAGGAGAAUCUGUGCACGAUUCUACCUCCUGAGGACAUAAAUAGUGAGAUAGCAAAAGAAAGGGUUAACCUAGAUGCCUUUAUUCCAGAUGAUAUGAAACCUUCAGCAAAAAAAGAAAAAUCGACUCUUUAUUUGCCUAUUCCUGAUGUUCUAAUAUCUACUGAAGAAAAGGGUUCCAAAAAUGAAUUUUCUCUUGAAUGUGAUUCCAAGAAGUUGAUCCCAGUAGGGGAGACAGAGGUUGAUUCAAAAGAGGAAAUUGCAAAUGUUGCAUCUAAAGAGAUUUUUUCAUUUGGGCAAUUGCUUUCAACGCCAGAGGUGGGCACAGAGCUUUCACAACCCG
rnacentral:misc_RNA from 1 species